rnacentral:rRNA from 1 species
UACGGAGGGGGCUAGCGUUGUUCGGAAUUACUGGGCGUAAAGCGCACGUAGGCGGCUUUGUAAGUUAGAGGUGAAGCCCGGGGCUCAACUCCGGAAUUGCCUUUAAGACUGCAUUGCUAGAAUUGUGGAGAGGUAAGUGGAAUUCCGAGUGUAGAGGUGAAAUUCGUAGAUAUUCGGAAGAACACCAGUGGCGAAGGCGACUUACUGGACACAUAUUGACGCUGAGGUGCGAAAGCGUGGGGAGCAAACAGG